AACCCAGUGUGACUCGUCACACUAUCAUUAACUGAAUCCAUAGGUUAAUGAGGCGAACCGGGGGAACUGAAACAUCUAAGUACCCCGAGGAAAAGAAAUCAACCGAGAUUCCCCCAGUAGCGGCGAGCGAACGGGGAGGAGCCCAGAGCCUGAAUCAGCAUGUGUGUUAGUGGAAGCGUCUGGAAAGGCGCGCGAUACAGGGUGACAGCCCCGUACACAAAAGCGCAUGUGCUGUGAGCUCGAUGAGUAGGGCGGGACACGUGGUAUCCUGUCUGAAUAUGGGGGGACCAUCCUCCAAGGCUAAAUACUCCUGACUGACCGAUAGUGAACCAGUACCGUGAGGGAAAGGCGAAAAGAACCCCGGCGAGGGGAGUGAAAAAGAACCUGAAACCGUGUACGUACAAGCAGUGGGAGCACCCUUUGGGUGUGACUGCGUACCUUUUGUAUAAUGGGUCAGCGACUUAUAUUCUGUAGCAAGGUUAACCGAAUAGGGGAGCCGGAGGGAAACCGAGUCUUAACCGGGCGUUAAGUUGCAGGGUAUAGACCCGAAACCCGGUGAUCUAGCCAUGGGCAGGUUGAAGGUUGGGUAACACUAACUGGAGGACCGAACCGACUAAUGUUGAAAAAUUAGCGGAUGACCUGUGGCUGGGGGUGAAAGGCCAAUCAAACCGGGAGAUAGCUGGUUCUCCCCGAAAGCUAUUUAGGUAGCGCCUCGUGAAUUCAUCUCCGGGGGUAGAGCACUGUUUCGGCUAGGGGGCCAUCCCGGCUUACCAACCCGAUGCAAACUGCGAAUACCGGAGAAUGUUAUCACGGGAGACACACGGCGGGUGCUAACGUCCGUCGUGAAGAGGGAAACAACCCAGACCGCCAGCUAAGGUCCCAAAGUCAUGGUUAAGUGGGAAACGAUGUGGGAAGGCCCAGACAGCCAGGAUGUUGGCUUAGAAGCAGCCAUCAUUUAAAGAAAGCGUAAUAGCUCACUGGUCGAGUCGGCCUGCGCGGAAGAUGUAACGGGGCUAAACCAUGCACCGAAGCUGCGGCAGCGACACUGUGUGUUGUUGGGUAGGGGAGCGUUCUGUAAGCCUGUGAAGGUGUGUCGUGAGGCAUGCUGGAGGUAUCAGAAGUGCGAAUGCUGACAUAAGUAACGAUAAAGCGGGUGAAAAGCCCGCUCGCCGGAAGACCAAGGGUUCCUGUCCAACGUUAAUCGGGGCAGGGUGAGUCGACCCCUAAGGCGAGGCCGAAAGGCGUAGUCGAUGGGAAACGGGUUAAUAUUCCCGUACUUGGUGUUACUGCGAAGGGGGGACGGAGAAGGCUAUGUUGGCCGGGCGACGGUUGUCCCGGUUUAAGCGUGUAGGUGUGUGUUCCAGGUAAAUCCGGUUCACUUUAACACUGAGGCGUGACGACGAGGCACUACGGUGCUGAAGCAACAAAUGCCCUGCUUCCAGGAAAAGCCUCUAAGCAUCAGGUAACAUCAAAUCGUACCCCAAACCGACACAGGUGGUCAGGUAGAGAAUACCAAGGCGCUUGAGAGAACUCGGGUGAAGGAACUAGGCAAAAUGGUGCCGUAACUUCGGGAGAAGGCACGCUGACACGUAGGUGAAGUGAUUUACUCAUGGAGCUGAAGUCAGUCGAAGAUACCAGCUGGCUGCAACUGUUUAUUAAAAACACAGCACUGUGCAAACACGAAAGUGGACGUAUACGGUGUGACGCCUGCCCGGUGCCGGAAGGUUAAUUGAUGGGGUCAGCGCAAGCGAAGCUCCUGAUCGAAGCCCCGGUAAACGGCGGCCGUAACUAUAACGGUCCUAAGGUAGCGAAAUUCCUUGUCGGGUAAGUUCCGACCUGCACGAAUGGCGUAAUGAUGGCCAGGCUGUCUCCACCCGAGACUCAGUGAAAUUGAACUCGCUGUGAAGAUGCAGUGUACCCGCGGCAAGACGGAAAGACCCCGUGAACCUUUACUAUAGCUUGACACUGAACAUUGAGCCUUGAUGUGUAGGAUAGGUGGGAGGCUUUGAAGUGUGGACGCCAGUCUGCAUGGAGCCGACCUUGAAAUACCACCCUUUAAUGUUUGAUGUUCUAACGUGGACCCGUUACCCGGGUUGCGGACAGUGUCUGGUGGGUAGUUUGACUGGGGCGGUCUCCUCCUAAAGAGUAACGGAGGAGCACGAAGGUUGGCUAAUCCUGGUCGGACAUCAGGAGGUUAGUGCAAUGGCAUAAGCCAGCUUGACUGCGAGCGUGACGGCGCGAGCAGGUGCGAAAGCAGGUCAUAGUGAUCCGGUGGUUCUGAAUGGAAGGGCCAUCGCUCAACGGAUAAAAGGUACUCCGGGGAUAACAGGCUGAUACCGCCCAAGAGUUCAUAUCGACGGCGGUGUUUGGCACCUCGAUGUCGGCUCAUCACAUCCUGGGGCUGAAGUAGGUCCCAAGGGUAUGGCUGUUCGCCAUUUAAAGUGGUACGCGAGCUGGGUUUAGAACGUCGUGAGACAGUUCGGUCCCUAUCUGCCGUGGGCGCUGGAGAACUGAGGGGGGCUGCUCCUAGUACGAGAGGACCGGAGUGGACGCAUCACUGGUGUUCGGGUUGUCAUGCCAAUGGCACUGCCCGGUAGCUAAAUGCGGAAGAGAUAAGUGCUGAAAGCAUCUAAGCACGAAACUUGCCCCGAGAUGAGUUCUCCCUGAGACUUUAGGUCUCCUGAAGGAACGUUGAAGACGACGACGUUGAUAGGCCGGGUGUGUAAGCGCAGCGAUGCGUUGAGCUAACCGGUACUAAUGAACCGUGAGGCUUAACCUUACAACGCCGAAG
rnacentral:rRNA from 1 species